GACGAACGCUGGCGGCGUGCUUAACACAUGCAAGUCGAACGGUGAACUCCGCUUGCGGGGGGAUCAGUGGCGAACGGGUGCGUAACACGUGGGCAACCUGCCCUCAGCUCUGGGAUAACUCCAAGAAAUUGGGGCUAAUACCGGAUAUGACCGCUGACCGCAUGGUCUGGGGGCGGAAAGAUUUAUCGGCUGGGGAUGGGCCCGCGGCCUAUCAGCUUGUUGGUGGGGUAGUGGCUUACCAAGGCGACGACGGGUAGCCGGCCUGAGAGGGUGACCGGCCACACUGGGACUGAGACACGGCCCAGACUCCUACGGGAGGCAGCAGUGGGGAAUAUUGCGCAAUGGGCGAAAGCCUGACGCAGCGACGCCGCGUGGGGGAUGACGGCCUUCGGGUUGUAAACCUCUGUCAGCAGGGACGAAGCGAAAGUGACGGUACCUGCAGAAGAAGCACCGGCCAACUACGUG
rnacentral:rRNA from 1 species